GCUCAACCGGGGAGGGUCAUUGGAAACUGGGGAACUUGAGUGCAGAAGAGGAGAGUGGAAUUCCACGUGUAGCGGUGAAAUGCGUAGAGAGGUGGAGGAACACCAGUGGCGAAGGCGACUCUCUGGUCUGUAACUGACGCUGAGGCGCGAAAGCGUGGGGAGCGAACAGGAUUAGAUACCCUGGUAGUCCACGCCGUAAACGAUGAGUGCUAAGUGUUAGAGGGUUUCCGCCCUUUAGUGCUGCAGCAAACGCAUUAAGCACUCCGCCUGGGGAGUACGGUCGCAAGACUGAAACUCAAAGGAAUUGACGGGGGCCCGCACAAGCGGUGGAGCAUGUGGUUUAAUUCGAAGCAACGCGAAGAACCUUACCAGGUCUUGACAUCCUCUGACAACCCUAGAGAUAGGGCUUCCCCUUCGGGGGCAGAGUGACAGGUGGUGCAUGGUUGUCGUCAGCUCGUGUCGUGAGAUGUUGGGUUAAGUCCCGCAACGAGCGCAACCCUUGAUCUUAGUUGCCAGCAUUCAGUUGGGCACUCUAAGGUGACUGCCGAUGACAAACCGGAGGAAGGUGGGGAUGACGUCAAAUCAUCAUGCCCCUUAUGACCUGGGCUACACACGUGCUACAAUGGGCAGAACAAAG
rnacentral:rRNA from 1 species